GGACUUAAGUUUUUUUUCCUUCAAGUUCUGGAUAUUUUAACUGAACUUUUGCUUUUUUUGAGAUUCCACUUAUAGUAAUGCUAAUUCUCUUUCAGCUCCUGGAUUCCCUUCCAAUCAUUUGUAACACAGGAAGACUUUCCCAAUCUCUGAAGAUUUUCUGUCUUCCGUCUUUCCAUCUGAGAUGCCUUUUCUCCAGCCUCUGGAACUUUUGCAUCCGGGGUCAUGCCUGAAGCCAAAGUCAGCCAUACCCACCCUCAUGCUCUGUGUUGCUCAGAAAUUCCAAGAAGUUUCCUGGUACUGCACUGACAGGAACAGGCUGGAAUGUACUGCAGGUGAUAACUGCCAAGAGAUGCAUAGGCCACCAAGGCAGGCAGGCCCAGGAACAAGUCCUAGCUCCCUUCCUUUCUGCUCAAAGACUUUGUAUAAGUUACUUAGCUUUGGUCGCAGGUCAGGUUUCCUGGAGAAGAGAGUCCAAGACUCUGAAGUUUAUGUGGAGGAUGCUUCUUGGGGAGUAGACUCAGGAACAACUGUGGAGGGAGGGAAGCAGGUAUUAGGCAGAAGGAGAAGUGGGACCAUGAUGCAAUUCAGUGGAGGCCUCCAGAAAUCCCCACAGGGAAUCCUGCCACUGGGUUGGCCCUUCAGAAUUGUCCCAGUUGAAGGCCGGGUGUAGUGGCUUACACCUGUCAUCCCAGCACUUUGGGAGGCCGAGGCGGGAGGAUCACUUGAGGUCAGGAGUUCAAGACCAGCCUGGCCAAAAUGGUGAAACCCCGUCUCCACUAAAAAUACAAAACUUAGCCGGGUGUUGUGGUGGGCAUCUGUAAUCCCAGCUGCUGGGGAGACUGAGGUAGGAGAAUCACUUGAAUCCAGGAGGAGGACGUUGCACUGAGCCUAGAUCACACCACUGCACUCCAUCCUGGGUAACAGAGUGAGACUUUAUCUCAAAAAAAAAAAAACAAAAAAGAAAAGUAAAAAAAGAAUUUGUCCCAGUUGAGAAGUGGCAGGGCUCUUGUGUAUCCAUUUUGACCAGUCAUGAUUGAAGGCUGCCUUCUGAGGGGGAGUAAACAUUGGAGUGAAGAAGUUCUAUUUGCCUGAGUCUACAGGCAGCAGCUAGACAUUUGGGUAGCAGGUGAAAUGAGUGCCUCCAUCCUGGGGGCCCCCUGGGGUAGCCUACCACAUCUUCCCCUAAAUGAAGAGUGAGUCACAGCCUCAGGGAGCUUUCCUUGGUUAUUCUACCUAAAAUUUCAGUCCCUUAAUCUCAUACCCCUUCUACCCUGCCUUAUUUUUAUCCAUGGCAUUUUCAGUAGUAAUUUAUUAUCGUAAUAUGAACUCACCUACUUUACAGUAAUUUGUUUGUUAUGUUUCUGGAACUGCUCUAGAACCUUGUCCAAACUACAUGAGGACAGGGAUUUGUUUUGUUCAUAACAUUGCCUAGUUUCUAGAACAGGGCUUGGCAUGGACUAAACUCUUUAUAAAUAUAUUUUUAGUUAAGCAUAAUCAUUAAAUUAAUAAAUAUAAUACAGAUUGAGGGCUUACUGUAUGG
rnacentral:lncRNA from 1 species